UUGCCCGCGGGCUGGGAUUCCGGUCCGGCUGCGGCAUCCGCUACCCCCCUCCCCCCCCCAGCCCGCGAUGGAGGAGACCGAGAUGCAGCUCAAGGUGAAAAAAGUUACAGACAAAUUCACGGAGAGCAUGUACAUCCUGGCCAACGAGCCGUCUGUGGCACUGUACCGACUGCAGGAGCAUGUCAGGCGCUCCCUUCCGGAGCUAGCCCAGCACAAGGCUGACAUGCAGAGCUGGGAGGAGCAGAGUCAAGGAGCCAUCUACACCGUGGAGUACGCCUGCAGCGCCAUAAAGAACAUGAUGGACAGCAGUGUGUAUUUUGAGAGCAUCGACAGGCUGCUCAAGCAUGCCAUCGCUGUGAAGGAUCAGCUGAAUUCCGCUCAGGGCCGCAGCACUGCUGCCCUGCAAGCCCUGAAUCCGCCAGCCAGUUCCUGAUUUCAGACCAGACUGGCCUUCCUCUGCCUUUUUCAUCCAGCCCAGGUCAGUGAUCUCUUUGGCCAGAUGGAAGGGCGAGAAAUCUUCCACCCUUAAACUUUCCGCAUUGGAUGGCCUGGGUGUCAAGAGAGGAUGCUGCCCACACGCCUUGUCUCUGGGGACGUGCAGGGAUGAGAGCCGCCGACUCCUUUUAAAAGCUUCUGAAGCCAAAGCCACAAGUGACUAGCCACGCGUGGUGUAUAAAGGCCCAGUGAAGGGCUGUGAUCUCCGUGGGCAGAUGUCAUGGCCCUAGCUGGUGCCCGAGAUCCCCCUAGCUCAUUGACUAGUCACCCUGUUUGUGUCAAGCCAGGGGCUGGGUUUUGGGACUUGCCGGUUACAGCUGAUCUUCCCUGCCACCCCUAUGAGAGACUCCAGGGAGAACGGAGGUGUGCUGUCCCCACCAAUCUCCGGGAGAAAGCCAGCACAGCGGAGAGGCAUCAUGGGGUGGGGGCUCUGUUUCUUGUGCCUUUGAAUCCCUCCCUACAGGGCUUGUGCUGCAGCUUCUGCAUAAAACAAGUGGCAGAACAUUAAAGUAUCUCAAAAACCA